AGCUCCAAUAGCGUAUAUUAAAGUUGCUGCAGUUAAAAAGCUCGUAGUCGCAUUUCCGAGGCAAGGGAUUAGUCCGACCUUUGGUGGGUAUUUAAUCCUCUUGCCUCGUCCUUGAGUGGUGCUUCUUGGUAUUAAGUUAUCGAGGAGAUAGCCGCUCAUCGUUUACUGUGAGAAAAUUAGAGUGUUCAAAGCAGGCUUAUGCCGUUGAAUAUAUUAGCAUGGAGUAAUAAGAUAGGACCUCGGUACUAUUUUGUUGGUUUGAGAACCAAGGUAAUGAUGAAUAGGGACAGUUGGGGGUAUUCGUAUUCAGUUGUCAGAGGUGAAAUUCUUAGAUUUACGGAAGACGAACUACUGCGAAAGCAUUUACCAAGGAUGUUUUCA
rnacentral:rRNA from 1 species